rnacentral:rRNA from 1 species
UACGUAGGGCGCAAGCGUUGUCCGGAAUUAUUGGGCGUAAAGAGCUCGUAGGCGGUUUGUCGCGUCUGCUGUGAAAUCCCGAGGCUCAACCUCGGGCUUGCAGUGGGUACGGGCAGACUAGAGUGCGGUAGGGGAGACUGGAAUUCCUGGUGUAGCGGUGGAAUGCGCAGAUAUCAGGAGGAACACCGAUGGCGAAGGCAGAUCUCUGGGCCGUAACUGACGCUGAGGAGCGAAAGCAUGGGGAGCGAACAGG